UUGUUGCGACGAAAUUUGUGACGGAAUAUCAUUGCUAGCUUAAUAAAUAUAUUUUUAUGAAUUUUAAAUCAUACGGUGAUAGAAUUUUCCAUCGCUAAAAUUUAUUCUAAAUAAAUAAUCAUUUUAGUAGCAAUGGAUGUCAUAAUCCGUCAUUAAGUUUGUUACAAAUAUUUUUUAACUUAGUUGGAACUUUAUUAACUCAGAUCAAAACAAAAAGGGAAGAACAAAACAUUUUCCCUAAAGUAAUAGGGUUUUCUUCCUCAGGUGAACUCCCGUUUCUUCCUCAAGUGAACUUCUAUAUCAGAUCCCGUCUUCUUCAUCCUCAGUCUAGAGAUGUUCUCGCGCUUCUACUGCCUCAGGUGAAAGCUUUUUGUCUCCGAAGAAAGACAUUGUAAUUCAGUGUAUGUGAAGCUAAAAGAAACACAUUGACAUCCAGUGUGGCUCGAGGCAGAGGUCGUGGAAAGCCUUUUGGUAGGAGUAGCCCUGCUAUUCAUCUAAGCAUGUCAACUAUUUCGAUGCGCACUAUAGUUUCUCCUCAACAAGGUGUUACCCCAACAAUUGAAGUAUCAGCUCAAAGUACCACCCAACUAUUUCCGAGACACAUCUAGCUACACCAAAUCAAAGUAAUCCCAUAUUUCAGGGUCUGUCUACUCAGAGCAUCCCAAGAGAUUGUAGUAAUCCAAUUGUUGAAGAGGAUCUAUCUACUCAAAGCAACUCAAGAGGUCAUACAAACACAAUUAUUGAUGCUGAUUCUACUAGUAGCCACUCACGAACUCUUAUUUUUAUAAGGUCUACGGGCUAUUGAAAAGGGAUGAGAUCCAAAAUCGAGCUAGUUACAUUUGCAUGUCUAUAUGCAUGGUGAUGAUGGCAAAUCUUUUGUUGGUGAACGCUCUCGAAUUGUCCAUGAUAAAUAUGAAGAAAUAUUACGGAAAAAACAACAUCUCAAUAUGAUAUUUAUCCAUGUGAAGAAUACUAUAAAGUUGUCGGAGAAGAACAAAAGAAAAGAAUAUACAGACUUGGAUUUGAAGUAAAAACUUACUACGGGUGGAAUCUUUGUACCUCAUCAUCUGUAGCACCUUCAGUUUCUCAAUCAACAACGACAAGAAAUAUGUAUGUGUUUGUAAAGGAAAUGAUUAUUGCCCUUACUAAUAAUUUUCUUCAAGUUAUUAUGGAUCGGGUACAAAAAGUGGUUACUCCUAUUGACAAUCCAUCACUUGUGACACCCAUGGUGCCUCCUCCUACUACUAAUGAGGAUGUGGUUGAUCCCGUAGUUUCAAGUGAUGAAGGUAUUCCUUAAUUAGUCUCUUGUAGUUGUAAUUUUUUAUGUUGUCUCCCUUUUUCAAAAGUACAAAUUAUGCAUAGCUGAUGAAUUGUGUUCUCUUAAGAACAAUUGAUAAAUUGCUUUUGAUAUUUUGCAC